AGUCGCAUUGGGUGCGUCUCGCACGAAUUCCUUUCCCGUCUUGGUGGGCGAAGAGUAAGCCGAGCCGCGAGAAUAGCACCGAUGCCCGGGCUGCUUCCUCUUCCGUCUGGCUCUGCUCAUGCCGAUUCCCGGAGCGACGACGAGGGCGGCGUUGGACUCUGGAUCGAUCUCAGCGGCAAGGGAUCCAGAGGCGUGUGAGGCGCUGUCCGUUUUGGGCGAGGGCGGUAACGCUUUGCCUGAUUAGGCCGUAGGCUCGCCGGAUUCGACCGUCGGAGCGGCCUCGCCGGACAUUCGUCGGUUGGAUCAAGGGGGGGCCUUGACUGAUGUCUAGUCCUCCGAGGCUUCCUGCAAGACCUUCAGUUCUGGGGGUGGAGAUGUGUCAUCCGCAAACCCCGGGUGCGCGACUCCUGCCAUAGUCUCGCACAACUCCGUCAAGUCCAGCCGCCGCAGUGCCGCGUCGGAUUCCUGCAUGACAUUCAGUUCUGGGGGCGUGGUCCUGCCGUCGGCGCGAGUCUGCGAUGAGACGUCAGCCAUAGUCUCGAGCUGCGCCGUGUAGUCCUUAUGCCAAAACGGGUCGGCUUUGGGAAACACCAUCAUCCGCGUUGGCUGGAAGCGCAAGUAGCUACUGAUUUUCUGUCGCUUAGGCCAAUGGUGGGUGGUAUGUACCUGAAAAUCGUGCCUCCAACAACCAUGAAAUGCUCCGGACCUAUGCUGAGAAGCUGCACUAGCCAUCACACCGGCACAUUGACACGUACACAAGGGAUCUCGUGAAAUAGUUGCGCCAGAACAACGUUAACCUGGGGAAGGUCUACAACAUCAUUGGAAGCCUAUUUGGUCGGAUGGAGAACGUCUCGUUCACAAAGAGGUGCCUUAGAACUUUCUGUGGAAAGCUUAUUAAGGAGCAGGCGGAUGAUGAUGUGCGGAAGACUAUGAAUGCCUUCUCUGAGCUGGGAUCAAAUGAUCCCGAGUUUCCGUAUGUUAAAGAAACCAAGAUAAAGACCCUGUUGUGGACUAAUGGUAGAAGUAAGAUGCAAUACCACUAUUUCGGGAAUGUGAUAACGUUCGACACUACUUACAAGACAAAUCUGUACGACAUGCCUUUCGGGCUAUUCAUGGGGGUGAACAAUCACUUCCAGAGUAUAAUCAUGGGCGGAGUCAUGAUGAGAGAAGAAACGAUUGAGAGUUUCAAAUGGGUAUUUACCGAGUUCAUUAGGAUGAUGCGGGGCUAGCCUCCGAAAACAAUACUUACAGAUCAUGCGCGCGCAAUGGAGGUGGCUAUACAACAAAUGAUGCCGGAUACCACACACCGGUGGUGCAAGUGGCAUGUGCUAUGAAGGUGAAGGAGCACCUCCGCCGCAUUACACAAAACGGAAUGAUUUUAGGGCUGCAUUGCACAAGGUGGUCAAGGAAAUGCUCACUAUGGACGAGUUUGAAGCAGCUUGGCUGAAAUGCUGGACAAAUACAAACUUCACAACAACACGUUCCUCAUCCAAAUUUUUGAGGUUCGGCACAAGUGAGCGAAGCCUUAUUUUAGUGGCAAGUUCUGUGCGAAGCUAACCAGUACGCAAAAAAGCGAGAGUGCAAACCAUUUGUUGAAGGGCUACAUCCCGCCUGCAUGCCCCAUGAACCUUUUUGUGAAGCAAUAUAGCUAAUUGCAGUUCGACUGGGAAGCUGAAGAAGGAUUCCAAGAGAAGAGAACAAGGCUGGGCGGGAUAGUUCUCCGAUACAAUUACCCUUUGGAGGAGCAUGCAAGUAAAGUGUAUACCUGGACAAUGUAUGAGACGUUUGGGCUGGCUUUGUAUCGCUCUGGUAAGUAUGAGGUUGAGGGUGUUGAGUGGGGCAUCAGCUACCACGUGCGGCACGUUGAAGCUGAGAAGCGAGAGAAGUGGUACGGCAAAAUGCAUGUGGUCAGUGUCCAUGAUGGCGGUGCUAGGUACACAUGCGAAUGUGGGCUCUUCGAGCACAUGGGGAUGCUUUGUUGCCAUGCUAUCAAGGUUUUAAUUCAUUUGGGAGUGAGAAAGAUACCCAGAUUCCAUGUCCUGAAGAGGUGGACAGUAGAUGCCCGCGACUGUUUGCUACUUCACCUUCUCCAUUACCAAAAAGAUCAAGGGCCUCCGCGGUUAUCCUCCUAAAGGCAUACAUCACUACACCUGACCACGCUCGAGUUUGUGCAGCUUGGUGAUAGCAAUGUCGAUGCCCUCGAUAGAGCAAUGGACAUCUUGAUUGCAGGCAAGGCAGAGCUGACUGUUUUGGCAGCGGUAAGGAUGGCAAAAGUUUGGUGGACUAAACUCAAAUUGGGGAGCCAGCCAAUCCCACUCAGGAUAUGGGCGCAGGUUCCUCGCAACUAUAUGACAUGUGUUCUCAGAUGUUCAUCUCCACCGAGUGUGGACUUAGUUCUAUUUCAGGGGAAGCUGGCUCCAGUCUCUCACUGUCGACGUUCCUGCCGCCUGAUAGGAAGAAGCAGAAAGGUAGGCCAACCAAAGCGAGGGAUAAACCUGGAUAUGAGGUCAAGGACACGCGAUCAAGGUUUUGUACGGUUUGUAGGGAGAAAGGGCACAAGAGCACGACAUGCCCCCGCAGGCUGACCUUCCGAAGAAACCUCAGAAAAUCCCUACAUGCGGCAAUUGCGGUGUAGCUGGGCACAAAAAAACAAGUUGUUUCAACCUAGUCUUGCCGUUUGUGAAUCGGCCUUGCGACGGGCCAGUCGAGUGAUGUUCGGUUCAGCGCUUGAAGCAGGUUGUUGAAUCCAAAAACCAAUCCAGAGUUUGAGUAGUUCGAUUUCCUGCAGUUAGGCUUAAUUUGGGACUGUGAUUUAUUUUUCCAAUAAGCUUUGUGCCUGGCUGGAUGGUACUGUAAUUUGAUUUCAUGCUGUUAGGCUUCGUUUUGGCAUGUGAUUUUGAUUUUCCAAUAAGGGA